rnacentral:rRNA from 1 species
AAACGCUGGCGGGCGCCUUAUGCAUGCAGUCGAGCGAAGCUUUUCAGUAGUUUACUACAGAAAAUGACUGAGCGGCGAACGGGUGAGUAACGCGUGAGCAAUCUACCUUAGUUACAGGGGAUAGCCCGAGGAAACUCGGAUUAAUACCUGAAAUUCUUUAUUUCUCGCAUGAGAAUAAAAGGAAAGGUCAGCCGAACUAAGAUGAGCUCGCGUUCUAUCAGCUAGUUGGUGAGGUAAAAGCUCACCAAGGCUACGACGGAUAGCUGGUCUGAGAGGACGAUCAGCCACACUGGGACUGAGACACGGCCCAGACUCCUACGGGAGGCUGCAGCAGGGAAUAUUGCGCAAUGAGCGAAAGCUUGACGCAGCGACACCGCGUGUGGGAUGACGGAUCUAGGUUUGUAAACCACUUUCAGGAGGGAAGAAAAUGACGGUACCUCCACAAGAAGCCCCGGCCAACUACGUGCCAGCAGCCGCGGUAAUACGUAGGGGGCGAGCGUUGUCCGGAUUUAUUGGGCGUAAAGAGCUCGUAGGCGGUUCAACAAGUCGGUCGUGAAAGUUCAGGGCUCAACCCUGAAAUGUCGAUCGAUACUGUUGUGACUAGGAUACGGUAGAGGUGAGUGGAAUUCCGAGUGUAGCGGUGAAAUGCGUAGAUUUCCGGAGGAAACACAAUUAGCGAAGGCAGCUCACUGGGCCGCUAUCGACG